GCUUGCAGGGUAUCAAGCCCAGACCAUCUCUAGGUCCAGGCUUAUUUCUCCCACGGGUGUGUGGUGGCUGGAAGGGUUUCUGUUAUAGGGCUAGUAAAAGACUGGUCACAGUUUUAGAAGAAACCAAAGAGUGUGAUCUACAGUGCGAGCUGUGGACCCCGCAGUUCCAGGUUAGACCAGGAGCAGACGCUGACCUCACACUUCUGAUAGGUAAAUGAAGAAUUCAGAGCCUGAAAAAAAGUUUAAACCAAGAUGCAAAAAAAGAAAAAAAAGAUCAAUCAACCUGGAACAGAAUGCUGGCAAUAGGGAACACAGGCAGAUAGAGGGCCAUGCCCACCACCAUCUCUACCCGCGCCAUCUCUACCCUGAGGAGUUGUUCCUCCUUCUCCAGCUUCUUUACCUAGAAUAGUGGUAAACCAUCAUCGCCACGAUCACCUUUGAUGGAAGACCUCCUCCAAAAUCACCAUUGGCUUUGUCUUACGGAAUAAAGCAGAAAAAAAU